UGGCUAUGACUUCGUCUACACAAAUGAGUAUCUGUCAAGGAUUGAUUGGGUCCUUCAAAGAAUGCUCAUGCUGGUACUGCUUCCAAGCAGGUUUCUGAGGGUUUUCGUUCGAGAGCCCAGGAUGAUGCUGGAAGAAGAUUGAUUUUUGCUGCCAAGAGAAGACCUGACCAUGGUCGGAAAAGGGUAGAAGGCAUACUGCUUAGAAUCCUAUACCGAAGUGGUCAGACUGACAGACCGAUCAAGUUAGAAAGAAGUCUACACUUUAAAGACAUGUCUCGAGGCCUUCCUCGGGAUCGAAGCAGACCCAACAGCCAUUUUCCUGAUUGAUUGACUGAGAAGGGUAUUCCGCCCUAUUGGUCUUCGGGAUUAUGGUCGAAGCAGAGUAGAUG
rnacentral:lncRNA from 1 species